rnacentral:lncRNA from 1 species
AGUAGGUGAUCGUGGCCUUCCUUGGGAUCCCUGUUUCCCCCUUUUAUUCCCUUUUCACCCAGUAAAACCCUGCUUUGCUCACUCUUUAAAGCAUCUGUGAGCGUAAAUUUUUGUGGCCAUGGGAUGGACAAGAACCACAUGUUUACCUGAAGUCCUGUGACAUUUUGGUGUGCAGCAUGGGAGCUCCAAAAGUGGAUAAAGAAUGUUGCCAUUGAGAGGGCUCUAAUGGUGGAAUUACCUUCAACUAACAUUUACUGAGAGGAGGAGAGGCAACUGAGACAAGAAGUCAAGAGGGGAUAGGAAAUACGACCUGUCUCACUUUGAUCCAUAUUGAAGGCUUCGGAUUUCCUUCAUUCUCCAAGUGAUGCAAAACCAAGGCUGUACAAGCAUGGUGAUGGCAUCUGUCCAGCAUCUGGGGAGCCUGCAGGGAGCUUUUACUCAGGACAGAAGGUGAAGCAGGAGCAGUACCAUCACUCUGGAGGAAACACAGGAAAGACUGCCGACGUUCAUUUCCUUGAGGGAGUAGAAUUGAGGCUGGUCAUGCCCUAUGGCUUCAUUUUACCUUAUGGAAUGGGAAGAAUGGCAUCUGCUAAUAUAGAGGCAUUUUUCUAAAGGCAGAUUCCGUGGUGCGUAAUUUAUUUGUAACAUCUUCAGGAAUGAACAAUUGUGUUGGAGAAUCAACAUGGCACACAUAUUGUGAUCAGUGCCGAAACAAAUAAUUCUCUAGACAGCCUAUUUUAAAGUCUGUUGAUUUUACAGAUAAACAGACUGAGAUGCUUCUUCACAUGCUUGUCUUUCAGUUCCUCAUCAUUACAAUCAUAGCAGGAGGGGCCGCCUGAGAGUCAAAAGAUUCCAGUUCUUCCCACUGUUUCUCUGGGCCUCAGCCUUUUCCUCCACAUAAUGCACAUACCGGGCUAAGGUCACCCUUGUUUCCACAACAUGUAAUUGUCUUAUUUUCUAAUUUGUUUAUUGUCUAAACAGAAAAAUUGGAGUGUAGAAAAGGAAGACAUAAUUGUAAACUGAAAUAAUCAGAACAUCUUCAGGAAGAUACAUGAUUUAAGCUGAAUUUUAAAGAAUUAGUAAAAUAUUUAUAAUAAAAUCCAUUACAAUUUAUACUGUUUUUUAAGUUAAAAUGAUUUUUACUAAACAUAACACUUUAUUCUUCCUGUCAUAGCUGUAUAAUAUAUUGUAAUUGUUAUUUUCAUUAUAAAGGAAGAAAAGAAAUAGAAAAAAAA